AGCGAACGCUGGCGGCAGGCUUAACACAUGCAAGUCGAACGGGCACUUCGGUGCUAGUGGCAGACGGGUGAGUAACGCGUGGGAACGUGCCUUUCGGUUCGGAAUAAUCCAGGGAAACUUGGACUAAUACCGGAUACGCCCUUCGGGGGAAAGAUUUAUCGCCGAAAGAUCGGCCCGCGUCUGAUUAGCUAGUUGGUGAGGUAAAGGCUCACCAAGGCGACGAUCAGUAGCUGGUCUGAGAGGAUGAUCAGCCACACUGGGACUGAGACACGGCCCAGACUCCUACGGGAGGCAGCAGUGGGGAAUAUUGGACAAUGGGCGCAAGCCUGAUCCAGCCAUGCCGCGUGAGUGAUGAAGGCCUUAGGGUUGUAAAGCUCUUUCACCGAUGAAGAUAAUGACGGUAGUCGGAGAAGAAGCCCCGGCUAACUUCGUGCCAGCCGCCGCCGUAA
rnacentral:rRNA from 1 species